rnacentral:tRNA from 3 species
GCUGGCGUAGCUCAGUGGUAGAGCAUCUGAUUUGUAAUCAGAGGGUCGGGGGUUCAAAUCCCUCCGCCAGCU